GGGACGUACCAAAGCGACCCAGGAAUGCUNGGGCGUGCCUCCACCCACGCCGGCGUCGGCGGGCGUAUUUCGCCUCACAGUAGGUCGCCGCGACCCGUUGCUUUUGGGGACGUCGAAGGCCCGGACGGAUUGGUACCCUACCGGCUGGGGAUGCGGCUUCGGCUUCUCCUCUUGUCCGGUGGGCGAAACCGCCGGUGUCCUGGCUGCCCUGCGACGGUCGUAGAGACGAGCCCUCCCCUUCGGGGGGGCGGCUCUCGCGGCGUGCAAAAGGUCGGUGAUCCACCCGACCCGUCUUGAAACACGGACCAAGGAGUCUAACAUGUGUGCGAGUCAGUGGGCGCACUAAACCCAGAGGCGUAAUGAAAGUGACACGGGUUCGGCUGUCGCCUCGUGUGGCAGCCGGACUCAGGGCCGAUCCCUCACCGGUUGUCCUCGCCUUUCUCCCGCGUCUCGGUAAGCCGGGUGAGCUAUUUUCCCCGGCCGCUGCUGCGGGGCUCGGGGGGA
rnacentral:rRNA from 1 species